UUAAGUGACGAUAGCCUAGGAGAUACACCUGUACCCAUGCCGAACACAGCAGUUAAGCCCUAGAACGCCUGAUGUAGUUGGGGGCUGCGA
rnacentral:rRNA from 1 species